AAACAUAAGCAGGGGUGCCGCAAGGCUGAGAGGGCUAAACGCCUAACCCUUUGAACCUGAUGUGGGUAAUGCCACCGUAGGGAAGUAAUGAUGAUUGGGU
rnacentral:ncRNA from 2 species